GGCACUGUGCCUUUCGCAGAUGGCCUGAAGGGAGAGAUCUUGGGAGAGUGCAGUGGACAGCAUUCAAAGAGAAAUGCUCACAGAUUUCAAAAUAGCUGUGCACUGCUCCUGCCUCCCGACACGCACUUUGUCCUGUGUGUGCCUGAGACCACAGGGCCAGCCUUGCAUGUGCCCAUCUUGUUCCAGUGGAAGCUUUCAUGUAGGAAUGAAGUCAGAAGACCACAGAUUUUGCCCGAGAUCUGGUGCAGGGGCCAUAUUUCUCUUCUGAGAGAAGGUAGGAAAUUUAACACGAAGGAGGUUAUUUGUCAUUAUUUCACGUUGCCACACAAGUUCAGUUCAUUGUCACAUCGGACCAAACAGCAGCACUAAUCCAGGCCUGUUGGUGAGAAGAGAUCAAGAUAGAAUGAAAAUCAUUAUUACAGAGUUAGGGUUUCCCUUCUUUCACAGAAAGCAAAUCCAUCUUUAGGAGGUGCCUUCUCUGCCUGGGCUCUGGACUGGAGGCUCCUUCCAUCAUUUAGACAAGCUCAGAGCCCUGCUGAGCUGAGCAGGGUGACACCUUCUCAAUUCUGAGCUGCCACCAUGGUGCCCAGCAUAGGCCGUUAGCUCCCAGACCCUAAUUCUAGCCUGAUGGGGCUUCAGUACCCUCCUCAGGCCCACCAUGCUGCCCCUCCCCUGAGGCGCCCCUAUGGCUGAGUGGUGAUGUGGCAGCUCGCCAGCCUCCAUCUGCAGGACUGAGCCAGAGAAGGGAGAGAGAGCAGCCAAGCGUGGGGGUGUACUUCCAGGUGCCCUUUCUGCUUACUGGACGCAUCAAGAGCAAGACACAAGAGAAAGAAUUCAAAGUGGGUCAAGCCAUUCCUACCAGAAAUACUGUCCAUCAGCUCCUAGGUGGCUGUGGCUCUCCUGUAUGGAUGACCACAAGUGAGAAUGCCCCAGAGCAACCCCAACUGGGAGAUCAUGGUGGUCUAGAAGAGAUCUGAGGUGGUGGGGGUCAGCAGAGCUGGUGACGAGCUCUGAGAUUUGUGGCUUGUCCCUGGGACUGGGCCCACUUCUGGUUCCUGCUGGAUGAGGUCAGGAGAACAGAACAAGCCUCCACCUCAAGCCUGUACAACCAACUGUCCCAGGGGUUGGGUGUAGGUAGCACCAAGAAGAUGAGAUGCUAUAAACAAUAAGUUAGAACAGUAGCCAGAAAACCCAGGAAUGAAUGAAUGAUGUGGGGAGAUUGCAUCAAGGUGACUGAUGAACAAUAUUUGUCCUCCUGCUUCUCCCCUAAAUUCUAAAACAUACAAAAAAGGUGUUUAGGAGAAUAAAUUAAUUCCUGGCACUGCUAGGGAAAAGGGAGUUGUAACUGGCUGUAUUUUCCAAGAUGGCUAUAAGAAUAUGUUUCAUUACACAUGCUUUUCUUACAAGAGACUCUGACACUUCCCAUCCAUCACUGGGGUCUCUGUUUCUUCUCCUGGAGCCUUAGUGGAACUGUGACAUGACUGCAGCGGAAGUGAAGCCAUGGUUCAUAAAAUCUGAUUCCAUUUCUGCCUGGACUUCUGACCGUGCUUGUGAGACUCCAUGCUGUGAGAAAGCUCAAGACUCAUGGAGAUGAUGUUCCUUCUCACACCCUAGAGGAGUUGGGCCCCAGCCACCAACUCACUGCGAUCCUAUGGAAGCCUCUGAGCAAGAGCUACCUAGAUGAACCUAAUCAACUCGCAUGGCCAUGAGAGAACAAUACAAAUGACUGUUACCACAGCCACUGUAAUUUAGAAUGAUCUGCUGCUCAGCAAUAAUAAUAUAGCAAUAGCAAUAGUCAACCAGAGCACAGAUGCAAAGUGGACCAGAGGUCUAAAAACUUGGGAUCAGACUGAAGAGGAAAACAAAGCCUCAAAUUCUAGAAAUUGAGGGAACAGCUUUAGAGUGCUUCUAGUUUAUCCAGGACAGGUACAGGGGACAGACAGAGCCCCAACUCUGUCUUAGGGUGUCUCCAUUCAGAAGACCAUUCAGUGGCCCUCCUCACCAGGCAACACAUUCCUGCUUCUCACCCACAAUAGCUGCAGGAAAUGGAUAAACCACUUAACAAAGGCACCAACAGGAAAUCCCAGAGUCUAAGAUGGGCACUUCAUGAAAACAUUCUAAAUAACUGAGAAAAACCCACUACAACAUAGAGGAAGCAAUUACCAUCUGAGGUAAACUAUUUCAGAGCAUACAACAAAAUAUAAAAUAAGCCAACACAUUUUCCAAGAAGAACAGAACUUAAUACCAAAACUGGAAGACUACACAUGGUCAUGGAUGCAAAGAUUCUAAGGUACAGUUUGCCCUCUGUGCCUGUGAAUCAAAAGUAUUGGGGGGAAAUGCAUCUAUACUGAAUAUGUAUACUUUUUCAUUUUUGUUAUUCCCUAAACAAUAUAAUAUGACUAUUUACAUAGCAUUUACAUUGAGAUAUUGUGGGAAUGUGACUAAAUUCAUUUAUGUUUCAUGUAUGCUUUAUAUGUAUAGCCUAAAGAUAAUUCUAUAAAAUAUUGUAAGUAAUUCUCUCCAUGAAAUAAGAGUCAUGCUGUGGAACUGUCCAGUUGUGAUACUGUGGCAGUGCUCAGAAAGUUUCAGAUUUGGGGCUUUUCAGCUAUUCUCAAACUCUGUCUUACAGGACUGCUGUGAAGAUCCAAUAAGAAAAUGUGUGUAAAUCACCUGGCCCAAGGAAGUUUUCAAUAAAAUGUUAGUUAUUUCCUCUCGUUGGUUGCAGAAGUUCAUGCAAAUUCAAUUUCAGAUGUAAAAUCCAGGAGUGAACUCUCCUCCGAUUACAUCUAUCUGUGCCACAUCUAAUCAAGAACCUGCCACAGAGCCAAACCCCAAGAAGGCAGGAGAGGAGCCAUGUAUGCAGCCGAGGGCCUGGGGGUUUUGCAGCCAACUAAAAACUCACUCAUGGGGCUGGCCAGUGGCCCUGGCAUAGUCACCAUGGGUGUGGCGGUGACAGUGCUCAGGACAGUCAAAUGCCAGAGGUAGGAGGCUGCAGAAAUGGUGCCAAUCGAGAAGCUGCUGAGUACGCAUUAUUUACCUGUUGCCUAUUUUGCCAAUAAAACACCUGAUGCUCAGAGCAGUGGGGUGACUGGGAUCACACAAUGGGUGGCAGGCUCCAAGGGCCCAGGCCUCUCUCCAAAUGCCACUGGAAGAGAAUCCACACCAGAUCAGGAACCCAUAUUCCCAGCUGAAGGCAAAGGGUCUCUCUGUUGGGAUUCAGCGAGGUGCUUUGACAGCCUGAUUUGGCUGGAAGACCCCAGAAGACAACUGGCCUCUCCUGCUUGUGCCAGUCCCUGGUUAUAUACUCACCCUUUCUAAGUAUGGCAGGGGACACUGCAGGCUGUCUGCAGAUGAGCCCUGGCAUGGCUUUCCCUGCUGGGCAGAGUGGGCAGCUGGGGAAUUGGAAGCCUGCUUAGCCACUGCUAGGGAAACUGAGAUGCCACUGUCCCCUCAGACCAAAUGGUCAUGCUUCUCAGGAGGAUAGCCAGAGUCUACUUGCCUUCAGCAAGGACAACACUGGCUCCCAGAAUGUUGGUGGCUGUCACAGCUGCUCCUCACCAUCAGAAGCCAUCUGUCAUGGGCACUGUAGCUCCUUCCUUGGCCAGGUCCCACAAACAAGGCUGGCUCUGGAGGUCUGCUCCAUGGUGACAGCUGGGGUCCCCGGUGCCAGGGGAAGUGGGACAGAUGCAAACCCUCUGGUUCUCAGGCCUGAGGCCAGAGACAAGCAUGAGCUGAAGGCAGGACAGGAGCUCAUUCAUUCUGGGCCUGCUCUGAGACGUGGAGGCUGCAGGUCCUGCCAAGGGGCCAGGGCAAAAGGGAGGACAGGAAGGGCUCCUGCCCAGCCUGCCUGGAACUGACCUGCUCAGGACAGAACAGCCUGUGGUGGAGAGGUCAAGAGCCCAGCACAUGAAUCACUGCAGAAGUCUCCUCCAUAGAGCAGCACAAGCAGUUCCCCACGCCAAAUGAGGACCCUGGAGUCCCACACUGAGGCUCUGCAGCUCCAGGGGCUUUGGAGGUGAGAACUGGAAUUAAGCGAGAAGUUAUGGUAUGAGUCCCACCUUCACCCUGCAAAGCAGAGGAGAAUAGAGAAUGUGUUCCUUUUCGCCUUCAAUCACAUGACCAGGGCUCAAAAGGAACCCACAGACUCCUGCUAUGUUUUCUGUGCAGAGUUGGACAUACGGUGGGUGGAGGACCCCAUAACCCAGGAAAUCUAAGAACAUACACUGGGCCGGCACCCUACUCUGACAGCAGGGCAGGGGCCAAGUCAGACUGCACCUCCAGGGUCAGACCAGAAGAGAUGGGCCCACUGGGGCUGGGGAUUUAGCCCAGUGGUUUCCCUGCCUGCUGCACAACCACAAGGACCGGAGUUCUAUCCCUGGUACCAAAAAAAAAAAAAGAGAGAUGGGGCCAUAGUGCUGGGCAGCUGGUGAGGCCAGAGGUGCCAGCCCACGGGGAAAUGAGUCCACCCAGUUAGGGCACUCAGCACGGCCUGCCCUGGGGACAGUGGCAUGAGGCAUCCCCAGGGGAACUCGUGCCCGGAAAAGAAGGCUGCCCACACCAGGCCACAAGGACAAUGGUGAUUAGAUGACAGCUGCCCUGCCAUCUUCCCCUCUUCUCCCGGUGAGGAUGGGGUCAGAACUGGAGUGAGAGGAGGAGGUGGAGGUGGAGGUGGAGGCGGAGGCGGAAGAAGAAGAGAAGAUGCUUCCAUCUCCCCUUCCCCGCCCACGGUUCCUGCGGACGCCACUGAAAGCCGCCACAGGGAAACAGGCGCGUGCAUCUUCAAUGUCGCAGGGAGGACACCCACACCCUGGGCGGCCACGGGUCCCACCGAACAGGGCAGAAGACUCUGAGGGCUUGGCUCACACGAGUGCCUUUGGGGAAGGCAGGACGCAGGGAGGGAGAGCGCUGUGAGUGGUGUCCCCACAUACCUCCUCUGCAGGGAGGCAGCCGGGGGGAGGUAAGGAUGCCACCUCGCUCAUUCCACCUGGAAGGCGAUGACUGCCGGCCUCUGGGUUGUGCAGUGACCUGGUUCCUGUCAGUGCUUAGGCACAGUCUUGAGAGGCCUCGCCCUGUCAUACUCACGUCGAGGAGGACCUCGCCCGGGUUGGUUCUCUGUGAGACUGUUAGUGCCCACAGGACACCAGGUGCGGGGGGAGCGCCAGGCAGCCCCAACAGUACUAGGCCCAGCUCGAGGCCCAGGGGCUGCUUUCCUUUUCCUCAGUGAUGACAGCAGUCCUCAGUGUGGCCUGCAAGGCCCUGUCUGGUCUCUCCUCUUGCUUGUCCAGACUCACCGCCCUGCCCCAUGAAGUGCACAGGAGCCCGUUGUUCUGAACCAACCCUCUGUACUAGGCCUCAGUGGACCAAGCCAGAAUGGAGUCCCUCAUGCUAAGUGCCAUGUAACCAAACUGAACUCCAAACCAGGCUGACUUCCAAACAAAACCAGGAGAUUGGCAGCAACUAAUCAAAAGGGCCCCAGUGGAUCUGGGCCGGCAGGCUGAGGACUUUUCUGUUUUUACCCUAUGAGGAAGCAGCUUGAAAGCAGCCAAUCCGCUUUGGGUUUUGUUUCUGCUUUCUGGAGCCCAUUUGUCUACACAGACAGACUUCCCUGCUCGGUCAUCCAUGGGAGCACUCAUUCUAUUUUAGAACCACAAAUAAAAGCCAGUUAAGAUCUCUAA